GGAGGCACAAGGAAUGAGCUGUGGAGGCACAAGGAAAUCUCAGGUAGAAUAUGACCAAGCAAGCUACCAAGAAAGCUAAGGUGAAUGAAGCUUCAAGCUCAUCUACUGAUGUCCCUGAAGGUCGUGAUAUAGCUUGGGAAUGGGAUAAAUAUGAUGAUCGUAAGCUAAGGCGCGUCAAAUGUAAGUUGUGCGGUCAUAUUAUGAGUGGUGGGAUAUAUAGAUUUAAGAAUCAUAUUUUACAGAUAAAAGGGGAAGUGAGAAGUUGUCCUAAGGCUACACCUGAAAUGAUGAAGAAGAUUAAUGACAAGAAGAAAGAAAAUAAUGAGAAACAAGCUCACAGGGAGAGAAUUGAUAUACUAUAUAAUGAGGAUAACUUAACAAUUUUGGAAGAAAGUGAUGAUGAAGUGGUGGCAGUGGAUUCUAAGGAGACCAAAAAGAAAAAACUGAAAAUGAGUGAUGUUAGAGGUGCUCUUGAUUUGCUGCUUAAAUCAGAUCCUCAAAAGGCUAAGCAAAUCAAUCAAAUAAUUCCAACCAGCUAAAGAACAACUGAAAUUAGACGCUUGGGAUGCAAUUGGAGCAUGGCAAACUGAAGCAGGGAUACCAUUCAAUGCAUUCCGGUUCCCAUCGUUUAAAGAUAUGAUCUAUAAAAUUGGAGAAUAUGAAAGAGCAAUGCCGCCACCGUCGUAUCGUCAGCUAAGAACCAAUAUCUUUUAUAAUCAGUUGAAUGAAAGAAAGAAGUUUGUUGAAUCAUUUAAGGAACAUUGGAAGAGAUUUGGGUGCACCAUAAUGUCUGAUGGCUGGAAGGAUCAAAAAGAAAGACAAAUUGUGAACUUCUUAGUUAACUGUCCAAAAGGAACUGUUUUCUUGAAGUCUAUUGAUACUUCAGGGAUAACCAAGGAUGCUAAAUACAUACGGAAACUCUGCAAUGAAGUGAUUGCCGAAGUAGCAAUAGGAAAUAUCAUUCAAUUAGUAUCCGAUAACGGUUCAAAUUUUAAAGCUGCUGGCAAAGCUUUAAUGAAAGAAUACCCUACGCUAUUUUGGAUUCCAUGUGCUGCUCACUGUAUCAAUCUAGUCAUGAAGGACCUUAGUAAACAAAUUCAACAGAUAAUUAAAGCUCUUGGCAGGGCCAAGCCACUGGUUUCUUACAUCUACAACCAUGGAGAAGUAUUGAAAAUGUUUAGAGAGUUGACGAAUAACAGUGAAUUGCAUAGAUCUACUGACACUCGGUUUGCUACACAGUAUUCUACAUUGAGCAGUCUUUUAGAGUACAAACAUGACUUGCAAGUGCUAUUUGUUCAAGAAAAAUGUAUGAAGUCUAAAUACGCAAGGACAUCUGAUGGCCAAAGAAUGAUGGCAACAGUUUCAAGUAAUGAAUUUUGGGAGAAUGUUACUUUUUCCUGUCAAGUGUUGGGUCCACUAGUAGAGGUUGUGAGAAUGGUUGAUACUGAAAGAAAACCUUUUAUGGGCUAUAUUUAUGAAGUUGUGUCUAGAUGUAAGGGAAGAAUGGAAGAUAACUUAUAGGAAGUUAAAUGCAGUGAUCAAACAUUCAAGAAUUGUUUUUGAAAUCUUUAGGAAAAAAUGGGAAAAGAAGAUUUGUCAUCCCUUACAUUGUGUUGGUUUCUAUCUAAACCCAAAGUUUUUCUAUAAAAUCCCAGCUGAGAAGAUUGACAGUGAUGAAGCGUACCGAGUUGUGAAGGAAGGACUUUACAAGGCUAUGGAGCGACUUAUACCUGAUCCUAAAGAUUAUGAUCAGGAAAUGUUUGGCUUGAGGACUUACACAGAUGCGGCACGUUCACUAGGAAGCGCUUCAGAUAUAUAUAUAUGUAUAUAUCUGCAUAUUCUCAUGUUAUUCAUACUUAUGGACAGAAAACUUCACCAAGACUUUAUAUUUUUUUUCCAUGUUUUUUCUCUUGAUCAGAUGAUUGGUGGAUACUUCAUGGGGUUGGCGUGCCUUGCUUACAAAAAUUCGCCAUUCGAGUGUUAAGUUUAACUGUUAGUGCUUCUCCCUGUGAGCGUAAUUGGAGUACAUUUGAAAAUUUGUAUUCCAAGAAAAGAAACAAGUUCUUAAAACAUAAGUUGAGUGAGUCUAUCUUCAUCCAGUACAAUAAAAAUCUACAACGUCGAUACGAAGAAGAAAACAAGUAUAGCGGUGAUGAAGAUGCAUAUCGUCCUAUUUUCUUAGAAGCAUUUGAUGAAAACGAUGAUUGGAUCAUACCGCAAGGUGGAGGAUUAGUAAGGGAAGGUGAAGAUCUUACUUGGGAACAGGAUAAUGCAGCCAGUGGAGAUAUGGAUGUUGGACCAAGCACAAGGUUAAGAAGAAAGGAAAGAUCAGAUACUCAUCCUACAUUCAGUCUUCUCUCUGAAGAACCUGAUGAUGAAUAUCUCCCCCCCAUCUGAUGACGACAAUGAAGAUAGUGAUGAUACAAGCUUUCAAUUUGAAAUGGAUUUUGAUAAACGUAUGCAUGUUAAUAAGAGAAAUCGUGCUGAUAGAGAUGAAAGUGGCGAUGAGGAGGGAGAUGAUAGAAUUGAACUUUAGCCUAGAGCUUGGUUAGAUGUUUGGAAGUUUAUUUGGGUUACAACUGAAAUCUUCUAGUUACUAUAGGGUCUGUAGAGUUUCAUUAGAUGUUUGGAAGGUGGUGUAGGGUCUGUAGAGUUUCGUUAGACGUUUGGAAGGUGGUGUAGGGUCUGUAGAGUUUCAUUAUAUAUUUGGAAGCUGGUUUAGGUAACAACUGAAGUCUGCUAAAUGGUUCUGAGUGUAGUUCAUGUCUAUUGCCUAGUUGUAGUUUAUUUUGUUUGUUGGCAGAACUUUUAUGCUUGGUUUAUGCUUGUUUAAGUAGUUUUCAGGUUUAAUAUAACUGAAUCAGAUUUUAAAAUGUUGAUUUCAUAUA